GUAUGGUGUAUUUGCAAUCUUUAAAUAUAUCAGUACAUGAGAAUUUUCUAUUAUGAAACGUUUUCAUUGUUACAUGAAGUAUAAAAAAAACACAAUUUCUUUUUUAAAACAUUAUAUUAGAAAGAAACAUUUAGUAUGAGUCUUUAGCUCAAUAUAUUACAUGUUUAUCUAUAUUAUUUGUCUAUAAUUGUAUUACGUAUUUAUAAAAUACUUAAAAAUAUUUGUGCGUUAAAUCUAUCAUAACAAAUUAAAAAAAUAAUGGAGUCAGAUUAUGAUGAAGAUCGUGGAGCUUGGACAGAAGAAAUGACAAGAAAUGAAGAUUGCAUAGGAGAAGAUAGUUUUGAUAAUCCUCAAGAGAUAUUAAAUGAAUGUUUGGAUAAAUUUAAAACACCAGAUUACAUCAUGGAGCCUGGUAUCUUUGCACAACUUAAAAGAUAUUUUCAAGCUGGUGGAAACCCAGAACAAGUGAUAGAAUUGUUAUCUAAAAACUAUACAGCUUGUGCUCAAAUGGCAAAUCUUCUUGCAGAAUGGCUUAUUCUUGCUGGAGUUAAAGUUACAGAUGUACAAGCAAUGGUAGAAAACAACUUAAAAGAUAUGAUAUUGAAAACAUUUGAUCCCAAAAAGGCAGAUAAAAUCUUUACAGAGGAGGGUGAAACUCCUGCUUGGUUAACGGAAAUGAUACAACAUCCUACCUGGCGGUCACUUAUUUACAGACUUGCGGAAGAAUAUCCUGAUUGCUUGAUGUUAAACUUCACUAUAAAGCUUAUAUCUGAUGCUGGAUUUCAAGGCGAAAUUACAAGCAUUUCAACAGCUGCACAACAAAUUGAAGUAUUUUCACGAGUUUUAAAAACUGCAAUUGCUGGAUUUUUGCAAAAUACAGAAGAUUGGCAGUCAAGUAUACAAGAAUGUGCAAAAAUGGUAUGUCAUGGACAACACACUUACGUCUACAGUCAAGUAUUGUUGCAAAUUCUUGCACAAGAAUCACGUGGUGGAUUUAUGAUGAAAAGGCUUUCUCAGGAAAUCACUAAAUGCGCUCAACAGAACCAUCAUGAUGUUACUCCAAUAACAAUGGCACUUAAUGGAGCUUCAAGUAGCCCUAGUGCAUGUCAAGCACUUGCAUCCAUGUUAUCACGGAAUACCUUAAAUCCUGCUGAUAUUACCGUAUUAUUUCGAAAUUAUUCUACUGCGGAACCACCUCCUAUAGAAUUACUUCGUAAUCCACAAUUCUUAGAACUAUUAGUUGAUGCACUUUUUAAACCGGGUGUAAAAAUUAAUCCUGAGCAUAAGUCUAAAUACAUAUAUUUAUUAGCUUAUGCAGCUAGUGUGUGUGAUAUUCCAGCCAAAAAGGGACAUUCACGGAAAUUAAAUAAGGAUGAAUUAAAAACAACUAUUCAAGCUAUAGAAAAAGUCCAUAACAUUUGCAACAUUAAUAAAGGAUCUACUGAAUUGAUAGCAGAAUUACAAACUUUAUAUCAGUGCAUAAGAUUUCCUGUUGUAAGUGUAGGUAUAAUUAGAUGGGUGGAGUGUACUGUAACUGAACCAUCAUAUUUUAAAUUGUGUACAGAACAUUGUCCUGUACAUCUUGCAUUACUUGAUGAAGUCGUAGUUUGCCAUUCUUUACUGCAUCCAAAAGUGUUACAACUUCUUGUACAGUUAUUUGAAAGUAAACAAGACGAACUGGAAAUACUUGUGCAGGUAAGGAGAAAACGGAAUGCAAAAUUUUCCCAAAUAUUUCAAAGACGGUAACGCCAAUCUUUAUAUAAAUCUAGUCAUUUUUUAAUCGGCAUAAAUCAUGACUAGAUCUUUCAAACAUUUAUUAUUAACACGUUGAUCGCACCGCGCAAAUCGAUCAAGUUUCCUGCGGGGCCUAAAUCCGUGGCGCGUAGAUCCAGAGUGAUUAGCUAGAAUAGCAAUCCGAUGUUGAUGUGCGUGGCCUGCGACCUAACGCCAUCGAGCCUUUGUGUUAUUACAUAGAAUAAAGGAUCUGACCACUUAGUGGGGAAACGAUAAGUUUAUCGGAAAGAGGACUGUGAGAGAUCUCUAUGUGAAGUGCCAUGGCAUUUACGCCAGAACCUUUAUUCCGUCGAGAAGCAUUUUUCUCUAACAAGCAUAUCUGUGAUUCUUUUAGUCUCAAAAUGUUUGUUAGACAGUGUAAAAAUAUAAUUGAAAGUGAACGGAAUAGUGAUGAAGAAGUAGUUAGCUUUAUAAGAAAGGCUAGAAAUGAAAUUUCAUCAAGUUCAAGUUCGGAUAACGAGGAUGCAUAUGACAAUGGGCAACUUGAGGAAAUAUUUAAAAAACUAGCUAUAUGAGAAGAGGAUAAAUUGACCAAUAUUGUUGGUUCAUUGAACAAUAUCCAGUGAAACAAGUUUACCAGCAAACAAAAAUCAUUUACAUUUACCGAGAAAUGUGGGCUUUAUUAAUUACCUCUCGAUAUUAAAUCGGGUGAAGCGUUUUCAUUAUUUUUGAAUGAAAAAGUGAUAAGCCUUUUAGUCACGGAAACGAACAGAUGUACAGAUCAAAAAUUGCUUCAUCCAAGCACCGAACACGCUCGAAUGAAGAGAUGGAAACCCACUACUACCGAAUAAAUGAAAACAUUGUUGAUUUAGAUGGCCCUAGUAUAGAUGCCACUAACUAAAUGUUGGACAACGGACCCUAUUUACAAUUUUCCGUCUCCGCGUAUCAUAAUGUCUCGUAAUCGAUUUGAGUUAUUAUUAGCGAAUUUGCACUUUGAAAAAAACGAAGACAUAGAAUCUAAUAAUAGACUUGGAAAAAUUUUACCACUUGUAUACAUACUAAUAAACAGUUCUCAAAAAGUCUUUUUACUAGGCCCAGAUAAUGCAGUCGACUAGACAAUGGUUUCUUGGAGAGGAAGACUAAUAUUUAGGCAGUACAUACCGGCUAAAUCCCAUAAAUAUGGAAUAAAAUUGUUCAAACUAUAUUCCACCGAAGAUCAUAUAUACAUGGUCCGAUACAUACAUGGUCUGAUACAUAGACGAGAUACCAGUGGAAUCAGGCAAGUUGGCACAGCCGAAGACAUUUGCACUGAGCUUACAAAAAACUUAAAAAAAUCAUUUUUAUACUAGUUAUGAACUAGCACUUAAAUUUUUCAAUGUCAAAACAUAUGUUGUUGGAACUGUACGUCACAUUUAUGCCAAAAUACGUUGUCUUACCCAUUGAAAAGAGAUGAGAUGAUAUUACUGGAAGAUAAUAAUGGUAUUGUGGUACUAAAAUGAGAGAUGUCUAUGAUGUUAAAAUAUUGUCAACAAAAUAUGCACCCGUUAUGGUAUCAACUUCGGAUUCCUCCACUCAUCGCGAUCGUCUACCGAAAAUGAAACCUUUAGUAGUAACAGUUUAUAAUAACGGAAAGUUUGAUAUAGACAGAAGCGACCAGAUGAUAUGCAACAACAAUACGAAAAUACAUCAAAUGCUAACCUGGCAUAACUUUUGAAACGAAUGGGAAGGAAUAAAAAAUAAAACGAAAGACUAUAAAAAAAGCGAUAAAAAAGAAAAUAAGACGAAAAUAAACGUAACGACG